rnacentral:snoRNA from 1 species
AUACUUGCUAUGAUCGAAACCAUUCGCGGAUAAUCUUAUAACUUUGUCCGAGAGCGCUUAAAACCGUGUGGAUAUCCCGCUGCCUUCCUUCUGAGCUAUU